rnacentral:rRNA from 1 species
UACGGAAGGCAGCAGUGGGGAAUAUUGCACAAUGGGCGCAAGCCUGAUGCAGCCAUGCCGCGUGUAUGAAGAAGGCCUUCGGGUUGUAAAGUACUUUCAGUCGUGAGGAAGGUGUUAAGGUUAAUAACCUUAGCAAUUGACGUUAGCGACAGAAGAAGCACCGGCUAACUCCGUGCCAGCAGCCGCGGUAAUACGGAGGGUGCGAGCGUUAAUCGGAAUUACUGGGCGUAAAGGGCACGCAGGCGGUUAAUUAAGUUGGAUGUGAAAUCCCCGGGCUUAACCUGGGAAUGGCAUUCAAGACUGGUUAGCUAGAGUCUUGUAGAGGGGGUAGAAUUCCAUGUGUAGCGGUGAAAUGCGUAGAGAUGUGGAGGAAUACCGGUGGCGAAGGCGGCCCCUGGACAAAGACUGACGCUCAUGUGCGAAAGCGUGGGGAGCAA